CUCUAUUACCUUCUAAAUGUAUUUCUAUAUUGUAUUUCAUAGAAUCAAAGAAGUAUAGAGUUGGAAAAGACCACAAGUCAUCCAGUCGAACUCAAGUUGCUCCUGACAUGAGAAAAAAAAAUCCAGUCGAACCCAUGACUAUGCAGGAAUACAUAAUCAAAGCAUUCCUGACAGAGGACCAUCCAGCCUCUAAUUAAAAACCUCCAAAGAUUGGGAUUCCAUCACACUCCAAGACAACACAUUCCACUCUUGAACCGCUCUUACUGUCAGAAAGUUAUGGCAACCCUAAGGACAUCUGUGCAUGCUGUUUGCUGUUCUUCAUCCUUCAGACCUGACCAUGUUUUGAUUGAAAGUAUCUUCUCAUCUCAAGACAACCAUGGAACAUUUGCUAAUUUGGGCAUGUUACCAUCUUGAAUGAAGAAAAAUAGACUGAGGUCUGUUAAACUGUAGCCUAUUUUAGCCCUUUCCAGAUUACAUUUUGGCAGUUUGUUAUCACUUACAUUAUCAGCCCUGAUACUGCAUGUGAUGGGAAUGUUGUAAGGUUUUGUAUUGAGAAUAUCUGUUCUGAG
rnacentral:lncRNA from 11 species